GCUUUUCUGAGGCUCAGUUGUUAGAGCAUUGCGUUAACAAUGCAAAGGUCAUAGGUUCAAAUCCCAUGGAAAGAA